UAAUCAAAUUUGGUUCAUGUAGCGGACCCCACUUAUGGGAUUUAGGCUUUGAUUGAUUGAUUGAGUAGGUUUAUGGAGUUUCCAAGUUAGUGGAGGGUAUUCUAUCUAAUUUAGCACAAAGAAAGAAUACAAUAACAUUAGGCUGAGAAAUUUGCUAUUUUAAGCUAGUAGGGUUUCAAUUUGAAAUUUGACAAAGGUAUUGUAUGAUAUAUGAUAUAUGAUACAUAGAAGUGUUUCCUUGAUUUCCUCAUUUCCCUCAUUUCCAUUCCCUUUUUUUUGUUACUCUCCGCCAUGGUUCUCCUUUCUCCUUGACAUUCCUUGACGGAUCACAACUACUUUCAAUACUUGAUUUGGGAGUUUUUUAGGCAUAUUUCUUCUGCUCUUUCUAUUCUGAUUUUUUUUCCCUUUUGGGCAUUCAUUUCCUUGCUGAGUUAUUGAAUAAGAGAUUAGGUUACCUAUUGAUGCGUAUUCAAUAGCAUCAAUAUAGUUUGUUUAGUAUCAAAAUGUUUUUAGUUGAUUUAUUUUUGAUGAGUCGUCUAUUAAUCGCGAGAUUGAGUAACGUCAAUCCGAAAGUUAUGCGUGAUUAGUAGGAUUUGGAGUUUAUCUUGGUAAAUUAUCUUAUUUUAAGGUUGUUAGGAUUUUAUUUUCCUAGUAUAAGAUCAAGAUAUUAUUUUAAGAUAGGAUUAGUUUUUAGGAUUUUUAUCUUUUAUUUUCCUAAUUGGCAAAGGACUGUUGCCUUUAAAUAUCUUCUUUGUCAAAGAAUAAAAUCAGUUUUGUGUUUUGAGUUAAUCAAGUAGCGUUGCUAUCGUGGUGCGUCCACUUCUCAUAAGGUUGAGGCCAAGUGAAACCCCUUGUAGUCGAGGCUAUCAAGGUUUUUAUCCAACAAUCGUUAUUAAUUAUUCAAUUAAUUCUUCCACAAUAAAAUAAUUAGAACCUCACUAGUGUUUGUGGGUAAUUUUUUAAUUCUUAGCAUACACAAACACGUCACCUAUUGAGCUAAAUAUAAGAGAAAAGGAAAGGCAUAUCAGGUUUUUUUAUUUUUUAUUUUUAUAAUUUUUUAUAUAUAUCUAUUGAAUUUUUGCUUUUCGUUAGUUCAUCGAUUUGUAGAUUUUAAAAAAGUUUUACUCUCAAAAAGCUAUUUGUUGUUUUUCUUUAACCGGAAUUAUGUCAUUUGGUAAUUUGAAGUGCUUUAACCACUUUUUUUUUUUUUUUUUUUUCCUUUUUUUGAGUUUAGCAAUUUCCUUAAUGACUAAAUAAUUUCUAAUCUUGUAAGUUCAUCCAUCUAUAUUUUCUGAAAAAUUACUAUUAUCAGUUCCUUUCACAGAUUUGUUCGCCUUCGAUGUGUUGAUUUUUUUGGGUAAUUUACAGAGCAUUAAUCAAUUCGUGGUUUAGAAAUAGUCCUUAUUUGGUUAAGCCAACUAGUGAAACCAGCUAGUUAAGCUAGGUUAUACGACCAACUAUAUUAAUCAACUAAUUACCAAACAGGACCACUGUAUUUUUGUGUCUAUCGAUGUACCACCAUCUAUUUGGAUUUUUAUUCUUCAAUUUAUCAGCCUUAAUCGCUUACAUUUAUUUGGGCUAGUCAAUUAAUUGCCCUUUUUUAUGCUCUACUAUAUUAUAUGUUCAUAUCUUACUAUCUCAGUUUAUUGAGUUAUCGUAUAGGGGCUUUAUAUGAAGUUGAUUGACUUAUCAAUUUGGGAGAUUUUUGUGUUUGCAGUUUUAGCUAUUGCUCAUAUAUCUAAAAUAUCCAGCUAUAGAUAUUCAUCUACUUAUUCACUUAUUUCCUCUGUCUAUCUUAGAUCUUUAGGGAAUGUUUAUGCAGGUUCUGCUUUUGCCCAACUCUUGUUAUUAUGUAUUAUUGGUUGAAUUUUCAUUACAAUGAACUACAAGUUGGGGUACCUCAGUUGUGUUUCUUAAAUGCAUAUUUUAAAUCCUUAAAAUUGUUUUAACUUUUGUAGGACUAUGUAGUAAAAUUUGUAUGCCGUCUUUUGGGUUAAAAUUAGGGACUUUGCUUUGAACUCUCAUUUGUUAGAACAUAGAUCUAUGGGAUUGAAUAAUUUGCCCACAGAUUGAUGGCAGUGAAUAAUUCGUUAGAACUCUAUCUUAGUGAAUCUUUCUUUUAGGGAUUAGGAUUUUUGUAGAUUAAGCAUUUAGAAUUUAUGGUUGUGAAUAAUUUGUCAGAAUGCCAGUGAGGCUGCCCUCUCUGUUUAGAGUUAUUUUGAAUGUUGCUAAUGAUGUUUUAAUCAAAUCUCUCUCAUUUUUUUUUUCUCAGCUUAAAUGACAAUGAAGAAAGCGUGUAGUCAUAACCUUUCCUCUUCUGUUGGUUUGCUUUCUCAAUUAGUGUAGAGGUAAUAUAAGAUACCAACUCAAGUGUUCACCCAUUACCUUUCCUUGUAAAUAAAUUUGGUCAAAGGAGGCAAUAUAAGAUACCAACUUAAGUGUUUGCCCAUACUGAUUUACAUAAAUUUGUUCUUGGAUAAAGAAUGGCUGAAAGCUCAACAAAUAUCUGAAGAAUGUAUUAUGUUGCUAAAUGUGAGAAUGCACUAAAGGGAAUAGUCAACUUUCAAGCAAGAGAUAAUCUGCAAAGAAAAAGCAUCAUAUAAACAGGGGCACUAUAGGGUAUAUAUUUAUGUCAAGUUGUCAACCUACUUACUAUCUUAAGCAUAUUUGACAAACAUUGUAAAUAACAAAACUUGUUAGGUUCUGGAUUUUAGUUAGUAGAUGAGAGAAAUUUUUUAGCAAUAUAAUGUUUGAAUGGCUGCAAAGACAACUAAGCAGCCCUUCGCAACCCCCUUACCCUAAAGCGCAAUACACAAUUGCUGGUUUUUCUUUAAUUUCUUACUUUUGGUUGUGGAGACUCAGGCUAAGAAGGCUCUUGUAGCCUGCUUCUCCCUUGCCUAUUUCUACUAAGCAGCUCUACUGCUGUAAAUAUCGCCGCAAGCAUAAACUUCUUCAUACCACUUUUACAAAUGCCAAUGAUAAGGCUAUAUAUUAAAGUGUCGGUUAAUUUCUUGGUGCAAAGAAUGGGUUCAAGCCAAUAAGAUCUCUAGAUAUUUUAGUUACAGAAGCAUAUUUGAGUUAGGAAGAUGCAAUCUUUAUAUUUUUUCCCUCUCCCUCUAUUUCUUUUUGAUUUUUUCAUUCUUUGGGACUGAUUUGAUUUACUUGGGUUUGUGCUUGAAGUAAUGGUUUGCUUGAUGUUUAAAAUUAAUGUUCUAAAAGUUGCUAAACGAUGAGAUACUUCUUAAGGUCCUCUUAAGACUUGAUCUUGAAUAAUCUUUUUGUAUUAAACUUGCAAGAGAAUAGUUCCAAGCUUACCUAUUAUCUAUUUUAGGAGUUAAUAAGUUCUCAAUUAUUAUCUUAGUCCCUGAGUUUUCUUGUAGACGUUGGGCUUGCUUAUAUUGUUCGUAUUAUCAUGAUUUGGUCGUUGUGUAUUGCUAAUGCUUGUAAACCUCUCUAUUAGAUGGUGUAUGUUGGUUCAUUAAUUGGAUGAUUUUUGUAUACAUGUAUUCUCUAUUUUUUAAUGUGAUUUUUUGGGAUGGGUUUUUGACCAUUUUCAAGCUGUUUCUUGGCUUUUGGAACGAUAUGUUAAUCAUGAUGCCUUAUAUCUUCAUAAGCAGGUAAGGUAUUUCUUUGUUAAUUAAUGGUAAAUUGAUGGUCAAAUGGUUCAGAGUUCAAACACCUCUGAUGUUGGAUGUUGGCUGCAGUGCACGGGGAAAUAUUGUGUGGAGAAGCUCCUUCAUGCAGAAGCCAAUGAAGUGAUAGGGCUUGUUAACCCAAGUCUAAGAAAGUGAAAUUUCGGAAGCGCUAUAUGUUGCAUUUGUGAAGUUAAGUGUGGAGCUAUAUAGAAGGUUUGGGCUUUUAACAGUUCACCAUCAAAAGAAUCCUGGCGAGAAGGCUAGGACCAUGGUCUGUAGGAUCAAACUACAUAAUGUGUGAGAAGAACCAAAAGCAAGUGUAAUUGUGUAAGUAAAAUUUAUUAUGUCUUAUAUGUCUGUAUGUUAUUCCUAUGUACUUUAAAAGAUUUAUUAGGUGCUACAUGGUAUGAAUUGCUUUUUCCAGAUGGUAGAACUUUUUUUCAAGAAAUUUGUAUGCAAAUGUAUUUGUUACUUUGU